AUUGAACGCUGGCGGCAUGCUUUACACAUGCAAGUCGAGCGGCAGCGCGGGGGCAACCCUGGCGGCGAGCGGCGAACGGGUGAGUAAUGCAUCGGAACGUAUCCCGGAGUGGGGGGAUAACCUAUCGAAAGGUGGGCUAAUACCGCAUGAGCUCUGAGGAGGAAAGCGGGGGGACCGAAAGGCCUCGCGCUGUGGGAGCGGCCGAUGUCCGAUUAGCUAGUUGGUGGGGUAAAGGCCUACCAAGGCGACGAUCGGUAGCUGGUCUGAGAGGAUGAUCAGCCACACUGGGACUGAGACACGGCCCAGACUCCUACGGGAGGCAGCAGUGGGGAAUUUUGGACAAUGGGGGCAACCCUGAUCCAGCCAUGCCGCGUGAGUGAAGAAGGCCUCGGUUGUAAGACUCUUUCGGUACGGAACGGAAAUACGCUCGGGU
rnacentral:rRNA from 1 species